rnacentral:rRNA from 1 species
UCAAUAAGCGGAGGAAAAGAAACCAACAGGGAUUGCCUCAGUAACGGCGAGUGAAGCGGCAACAGCUCAAAUUUGAAAUCUGGCCUCGGCCCGAGUUGUAAUUUGUAGAGGAAGCUUUUGGUGCGGCACCGACCGAGUCCCCUGGAACGGGGCGCCAUAGAGGGUGAGAGCCCCGUAUGGUUGGACGCCUAUCCUCUGUAAAGCUCCUUCGACGAGUCGAGUAGUUUGGGAAUGCUGCUCAAAAUGGGAGGUAAAUUUCUUCUAAAGCUAAAUAUUGGCCAGAGACCGAUAGCGCACAAGUAGAGUGAUCGAAAGAUGAAAAGCACUUUGAAAAGAGGGUUAAAUAGCACGUGAAAUUGUUGAAAGGGAAGCGCUUGUGACCAGACUUGCGCCUCGUCGAUCAUCCGGGGUUCUCCCCGGUGCGCUCGGCGGGGCUCAGGCCAGCAUCGGUUCUCGCGGGGGGACAAAGGCUCCGGGAACGUAGCUCCUCCGGGAGUGUUAUAGCCCGGGGCGUAAUGCCCUCGCGGGGACCGAGGACCGCGCUUCGGCAAGGAUGCUGGCGUAAUGGUCAUCAGCGACCCGUCUUGAAACACGGACCAAGGAGUCAAGGUUUUGCGCGAGUGUUUGGGUGUAAAACCCGCACGCGUAAUGAAAGUGAACGUAGGUGAGAGCUUCGGCGCAUCAUCGACCGAUCCUGAUGUAUUCGGAUGGAUUUGAGUAGGAGCGUUAAGCCUUGGACCCGAAAGAUGGUGAACUAUGCUUGGAUAGGGUGAAGCCAGAGGAAACUCUGGUGGAGGCUCGCAGCGGUUCUGACGUGCAAAUCGAUCGUCAAAUCUGAGCAUGGGGGCGAAAGACUAAUCGAACCAUCUAGUAGCUGGUUAC